UAGGGAAUCUUCCACAAUGGACGCAAGUCUGAUGGAGCAACGCCGCGUGAGUGAAGAAGGUUUUCGGAUCGUAAAGCUCUGUUGUUGGUGAAGAAGGAUAGAGGCAGUAACUGGUCUUUAUUUGACGGUAAUCAACCAGAAAGUCACGGCUAACUACGUGCCAGCAGCCGCGGUAAUACGUAGGUGGCAAGCGUUGUCCGGAUUUAUUGGGCGUAAAGCGAGCGCAGGCGGAAUGAUAAGUCUGAUGUGAAAGCCCACGGCUCAACCGUGGAACUGCAUCGGAACCUGUCAUUCUUGAGUGCAGAAGAGGAGAGUGGAAUUCCAUGUGUAGCGGUGGAAUGCGUAGAUAUAUGGAAGAACACCAGUGGCGAAGGCGGCUCUCUGGUCUGCAACUGACGCUGAGGCUCGAAAGCAUGGGUAGCGAACAGG
rnacentral:rRNA from 1 species